rnacentral:rRNA from 1 species
UAAGACCUUGCGUUAUUCGAGCGGCCGACGUCUGAUUAGCUAGUUGGUGGGGUAAAGGCUCACCAAGGCGACGAUCAGUAGCGGGUCUGAGAGGAUGAUCCGCCACACUGGGACUGAGACACGGCCCAGACUCCUAUGGGAGGCAGCAGUGGGGAAUUUUGGACAAUGGGCGAAAGCCUGAUCCAGCCAUUCCGCGUGAGUGAAGAAGGCCUUCGGGUUGUAAAGCUCUUUCGGCAGGAACGAAAUGGUUGCGGUUAAUAACCGCGACUUCUGACGGUACCUGAAGAAGAAGCACCGGCUAACUACGUGCCAGCAGCCGCGGUAAUACGUAGGGUGCGAGCGUUAAUCGGAAUUACUGGGCGUAAAGCGUGCGCAGGCGGUUUUGUAAGUCAGAUGUGAAAGCCCCGGGCUUAACCUGGGAAUG